GUGCCAGCAGCCGCGGUAAUACGAAGGGGGCUAGCGUUGUUCGGAAUUACUGGGCGUAAAGGGCGCGCAGGCGGUCCUUCAAGUCAGGCGUGAAAGCCCCGGGCUCAACCUGGGAAUAGCGCUUGAGACUGAGGGACUUGAGUUCGGGAGAGGAGAGCGGAAUUCCCAGUGUAGAGGUGAAAUUCGUAGAUAUUGGGAAGAACACCGGUGGCGAAGGCGGCUCUCUGGACCGACACUGACGCUGAGGCGCGAAAGCGUGGGGAGCAAACAGGAUUAGAAACCCUUGUAGUCC
rnacentral:rRNA from 1 species